rnacentral:lncRNA from 1 species
GGUAAGAAUCAAUCCCUACUUAUUCAGCCAGUGAAGAAACUUGAUCUUAUUCUUUAUUUAAUUCCAAAAUGUAGUAAAGAAAUAUUUAUAUUGCUAAUGAAGACAGGUGCUGUCUAAACCUUAACUGAAUUCUCAUUUAAGGAGGACCUUGAUUAGGCCCUUCUACAUCAGUAAGUUCCUCCUGCCUUCUUUACAAUGAUAAAUAGCCCAUUAAGUGUUCCUUCUGACAAUGGCUUUCCUCAUUUAUAGCAUCUUAUACAUUCAAAGAGCUGACACCUCAUCUUGUAUAUUAAUUUGAUACUAAUUAUAUAGUCAGUCUAAGCCUUCCUUUCCAUGGCUUCUUCCCCAAGCUGUCUUCUUCCUGAGGGCCAGUUAAGGACUCAAUUGCUGAGCAGACCUGCUAGACCUCACUUCAAAAGGCCCUCUGAAUCUCAACCACAUCCUCCAUCCAGCCCCAGAGUUAGAUCGUCCACCUGCAGCCCUUGCCGUAGCGUCAACUUGCUCCUCAUGGCAGCGGCCCCAUGGGAGACCUGCUGGCUGUAAACAUCCAGCUAUUUUCUAUAUCCUACACUGGGAGCAUGUGAAAAUAUCUGGAUACAUUUAUGCCAGGUAAAAGCUGAGGGAGACUUGGCCCUCUCUUUGCCUGGAUCUGCCUUGCAUCCAUUUUUCUUCUGUUAUGAUUAUCUCUUGUUGGUGAGGGGGCACUCAGAAAGGUGAUUGUUUUAGUCUAUUUUCUGUUACUCAGAGAAAUUUAUAAAGAAAAGACAUCUAUUUCUCAUAGUUCUGGAGGCUGACAAGUCCAAGAGCAUGGCACCAACAUCUGAUGAAGGUCAUCCCAUGGCAGAAGGACAGAAGGCUGAAGCAAACAUGUGAGACAGAGAGAAGAAAUCAGGUAAAACUCACUUUUAUUACAAAUUCAGUCUCGUGAUAACUAACCCACUUCUGCAAUAAGGGCGUGAAUCCAUUCAUGAUGGAUCUGCCAUCACCUAAUCAUCUCUUAAAGGCCCCACAUCAAUUAAAAGUCAACAUGAGUUUGGGAGCAGACAAACAUUUAAAC